GACGAACGCUGACGGCGUGCCUAAUACAUGCAAGUCGAACGAGAGCGCCCGGUGCUUGCCCUGGUCAAUCUAGUGGCGAACGGGUGAGUAACACGUGGGUAACCUGCCCAUCAGAGGGGGAUAACAUCCGGAAACGGAUGCUAAAACCGCAUAGGUCUUCGAGCCGCAUGGCUUGAAGAGGAAAAGAGGCGCAAGCUUCUGCUGAUGGAUGGACCCGCGGUGCAUUAGCUAGUUGGUGAGGUAACGGCUCACCAAGGCCGUGAUGCAUAGCCGACCUGAGAGGGUGAUCGGCCACAUUGGGACUGAGACACGGCCCAAACUCCUACGGGAGGCAGCAGUAGGGAAUCUUCCGCAAUGGACGCAAGCCUGACGGAGCAACGCCGCGUGAGUGAAGAAGGUUUUCGGAUCGUAAAACUCUGUUGUUAGAGAAGAACAAGUGCUAGAGUAACUGUUAGCGCCUUGACGGUAGCUAACCAGAAAGCCACGGCUAACUACGUG
rnacentral:rRNA from 1 species